rnacentral:lncRNA from 1 species
UAUUGAUGAAAAAAAUAAUCAAGUUGUGGCCAAAAUUAAAAUGACUCCAAACAAGGUUUUUCUACUGAAAAUGUCAAUUGAGAAUCUUGCAUUAAAAUCAGAGGAAAAUAAUAUUUCUCAAUUAUGGCAUAAGAGAUUUGGCCACAUAAAUUUUAAAAGUCUCAAAUUACUCAAAAAGAAAAAUAUGGUAAUUGGACUCCCACACAUAA